AAACUGUGAAUAUGUCACCUUACCUGGCAAAUGCGACUUUGUGGGUGUAAAUUGAGUGGGGAAGAUUGAAUUAAAUUCAGUUGGAAGAUUAGUCUGGAUUUCCCAGGUGAGCCCAAUCUAAUCCCACAGGUUCUUAAUAGUGGAAAACCUUCCCCAGCUGUGGUCAGAGGGAGACGUUACUGGGGAAGAUUGGUUAGAGGGAUGCAGCGAUGCUGGCUUUGGAGAUGGAGAAAGGGCCGUCUCCGGAAGCUGGAAAGGCAAGGAAAUGAAUCCUUCCGCGGACCCUCCAGCAGGGGAGCAGCCCUGUUGACACCCUGAUUUUAGCCCUGGAAGACCUGUGUCAGACUUCUGACCUACAGAACUACUUUAAAGGACCAAAUUACGUCUGUAUUCACAAAAGAUUUGUGGAAGUGCAAGUCACGAGCUUUGAAGAACAAUGACUGUGAGGAUCUUAUCCCCUGCUGGACAGCAAAGGGAGUGAACCUCCUCUACCUUACGAAAGCAGAGCAUGUCCGUCAAGAGCCACCACCAGCGGCGAAUGGAGAUGGCGGAAAAAGGAAAGUCUGAAUGCUGACUGUCAGUGAUGCUGUGUGCGAAGAUCCUGCAUGUCAUAGGACAGUUCACCAUUGUUGGGCUACAGCUCAAAGUGUCUCAACUCACAGCUUUUGACAAGGGCUGAUGCGUCACACAAAUCCACAGAGCACCAUUCACAGAGACUAUGAUGUGAAUGGUGCCCUCCAGGAGUUGUGUAUCCUAUAAUCAAUUCAUCCCCAACCCCCCAGCUCCUCUGCUCUCUCCCUCUUCACUAUGCUUGGACAGUCUCCCAUCCAUCCUUGAACAGCAUAUUUUCCUUUUUUCCUUUUCUUCACCUAAAUAAUUCCCAUUCUCCGUUCUCAGCGAUGUCAAGCAUCAUCUUCUUCCUUCACAAUCCCUUUCCCCACCAGCCUAACCCUCAUCAUGGCCAGGUUUCCCUCUCGAAGAACCUGUAACAUGACGAGCUUCUCUUGUGUAGAGCUCUCACCAUUGGAGAUCUCAAU
rnacentral:lncRNA from 1 species